rfam:Trametes pubescens strain FBCC735 TRAPTBscaffold_1672, whole genome shotgun sequence.
GCGAGUAUGUCGAAAUUGGUAGCCGAGUGAAUCUUAGGUUUUCAUUAUUUUAAGAGUUCAAGUCUCUUUACUCGUA